AAGGCGACGCUACAAAAGAUGUGCGAUAACGUCUGCGUGGUCUUUGCUGGGUUCGCCUGCCAGAACGUGUCUGUCUGCUUGGCUGCUGCUUGCUGCGACAAUUGCACGUGACGCUUUUCGCGAAAGGGCGAUCUGAAGUGCGUCAUGCCGACCAUAGUCAAGUACUACGGGAAUUACUGCUGUGUUGCGAGGUGCAGUAACAACGGCAGGACAGGGAGAGAGCGUGGUUGGCUGACAACUGCAGUGUGCAGCCUUCAUUCCUUGUUUGCUAUGCAUCCCGAAACUACCACUUAAUAAGAACGGUUAGGCUUCAAAUGACGAGCG